rnacentral:rRNA from 1 species
GAUGAACGCUAGCGGCAGGCCUAAUACAUGCAAGUCGAACGGGCGGUAGCAAUACCGCUAGUGGCGCACGGGUGCGUAACGCGUAACCAACCUGCCCAGAUCUGGGGGAUAGCCCGCCGAAAGGCGGAUUAAUACCGCAUAAACCCACAGUGUGGCAUCACAUAAUGGGUAAAGAUUUAUCGGAUCUGGAUGGGGUUGCGUAGCAUUAGCUAGUUGGCGGGGUAAUGGCCCACCAAGGCGACGAUGCUUAGGGGACCUGAGAGGGUGAUCCCCCCCACUGGCACUGAGAUACGGGCCAGACUCCUACGGGAGGCAGCAGUAGGGAAUAUUGGGCAAUGGGCGAGAGCCUGACCCAGCCAUGCCGCGUGCCGGAUGAAGGCCUUCUGGGUUGUAAACGGCUUUUCUCAGGGAAGAAAACGGGGAUGCGUCCUCAACUGACGGUACCUGAGGAAUAAGCACCGGCUAACUCCGUG